UUGAACUUGGUAAAGCCGCCAGGCGGAUAGAUAGAUAAAUAGAUAGAUCGAUAGGGAGAUAGGCAAGGUCAUAGGAUGCAGUCAAUACGAGAGGGACAGGGAACCAACCCACAUCACUAGCCGUACAUACUAGCGGUUAACUAUAAUAACCAACCUAUACCCUAGGUCACGUACUCCCAGCAAAUAGCAGGGAUUCCGUGCAUUCGCAAAGGGCCCAAAGCCCACAAAUUCCCAUGCCCCACAAACAAAAGAAAGGGGGCACAGCAUACACUCGGAUAGUCGGACAGGGUGCAAGGACGAGAAGAGGGGGGCAGGGUACCAAGCCACAACGCUAUAGCCGGAACGCACACAAGAGUCCCAACGGGGGCCAGGCAGGCGCAGGUACCCCAGGGCGGCCUAUUCCAAGCCUACAGCAGAUUGCCGCCGGCGACUUAAGGCAGGGGCCGCACCCAGGGAGCCCAGGGUUGGAACACACCAGGGUUGGAACACACUACCAUGACCUACGAACCAAAGCUACCAUCAAGCUCCACAUCACGUCCGCCAGCCACAUAUUAACACCACGGAUCUGCAACACUUUCCCAGGAGCGCACGCCACGCAGGAAGAGACGACACAGCCAAGUACGGCAACAACCACGCCGUACACCGUCCCGUACGCGGGGACGAGGGGGAGAGUUGGGGGUCCCCGGAAGACCCAGUGCAGACCGCCGGGGAAUGGGUACAUGAUAAGCCAGCCAAAGGUGGUGGCGCUGGAACGGCAUGUCUGCAGCGCCAGUCGUCGGUCCCACAACCUCGGCCCCAAACGGUUCUCUAAGCGACCGCUCGACAAAACAGUCCCAGGACAGGUGGCGCCGCACCCAGCACGAUCCCUGCCCCGUAACGCGCAGGGAUCGUGGGGCAAGGGGCGUGGAUGAUGGGAGGCCUCCCGAUCACCCUACAUGGCACGCUACCAUGGAAAGCCCUGCAAUACCAUGGACGGCAAGUCCCCAGAAGGCCUCCUGUGGGGGCUGUUCUCCCACCGCAGCCGCCAGAGACGCCGGAGAGGGUAGGGUGGAGUCAGCACACACGGGGGGUCAGGGCAUCCCGCGGCGUUGGUAAGCUACCAUCCGCAUCGGCGAUGAAGGCCGUGUGUAUUCCGUGACGUGGUGGAUGUCAAGAGCGCGAGCUGAAGCCAAGAGGCGGCUUUGACUGUUCAGGUCAUUGGUCCAGUCGGCAAAAGUGAUGAAAUGACGUUACAUGGUCGUGGGGUGCGUACCUGUUGUCCUGCAAACCGCCCAACAUGAGCCGAGGGCUCAAGGGCUGCCAGAUCGCCUAUAAGCACCAUCCUACCUCGCAUUUCAGACAAAGCAAGUGAUAAAGGAGACUAAUGACCAAAGGGAACGAUGGAGCAUAUGCAAGCACAUGAGGGACAACCCUUGUUGCAAAAUUGGAAGCGCGCCAUCAACUGGACUGGACGUAGGCUGGGCUUUUCCUAUCCAAGAGGCGGAUGGACCGGGAAUCGGCCGAUCUUCCGCAGCAAAGCGCCAGGCUGAAUAACUACCUUGGCACCUCGAACGUUGCUGAUGGCCAAUAAAAUAACCAGGAUUGUUAUGCAAUCGAAAAC
rnacentral:lncRNA from 1 species